rnacentral:rRNA from 1 species
AUACGUAGGGGGCGAGCGUUGUCCGGAAUGACUGGGCGUAAAGGGCGUGUAGGCGGCCGAUUAAGUCUGGAGUGAAAGUCCUGCUUUCAAGGUGGGAAUUGCUUUGGAGACUGGUUGGCUUGAGUGCGGAAGAGGUAAGUGGAAUUCCCAGUGUCGCGGUGAAAUGCGUAGAGAUUGGGAGGAACACCAGUGGCGAAGGCGACUUACUGGGCCGUAACUGACGCUGAGGCGCGAAAGCGUGGGGAGCGAACAGGAUUAGAUACCCUGGUAGUCCACGCGGUAAACGAUGAAUGCUAGGUGUAGGGGGUAUCGACCCCUCCUGUGCCGGAGUGAACACAAUAAGCAUUCCGCCUGGGGAGUACGGCCGCAAGGUUGAAACUCAAAUGAAUUGACGGGG